GGGGGGCCAUUGGGCCACCACCUCUGUCACCAUGUUGGUCGCCGCAGUUGGGUCGGCUGAUGUCCCCUUCUGCCCCCGCUGUUCCCUGUGCUUGCCUCGUGUAGCUGAGCCUCCAGUCCAAGAGGACAACCUUCCCGGAAAGAGAGGGACCGGCCUUCUGUCCAGGGUAAUGUUAGAACCUCCAAACCGGCUCCCCCACACUCCACGGAGAGUCCUCCCGUCCGUGUAGACACCUUCCUGCUUGCAUCUGGAAGCCAG
rnacentral:snRNA from 1 species